rnacentral:rRNA from 1 species
CCUACGGGAGGCAGCAGUGAGGAAUAUUGGUCAAUGGACGCAAGUCUGAACCAGCCAUGCCGCGUGCAGGAAGACGGCUCUAUGAGUUGUAAACUGCUUUUGUACGAGGGUAAACGCAGAUACGCGUAUCUGUCUGAAAGUAUCGUACGAAUAAGGAUCGGCUAACUCCGUGCCAGCAGCCGCGGUAAUACGGAGGAUUCAAGCGUUGUCCGGAUUUAUUGGGUUUAAAGGGUGCGUAGGCGGUCGGAUAAGUUAGAGGUGAAAUCCCGAGGCUCAACUUCGGAAUUGCCUCUGAUACUGUUAGGCUAGAGAGUAGUUGCGGUAGGCGGAAUGUAUGGUGUAGCGGUGAAAUGCUUAGAGAUCAGACAGAACACCGAUUGCGAAGGCAGCUUACCAAGCUACGUCUGACGCUGAGGCACGAAAGCGUGGGGAGCAAACAGGAUUAGAUACCCGGGUAGUC